UUUGCACAAGGGCAAAGCCAUUGAAAAAUGGUGACGCAAAGCUAUAGGGGCUACAGCGAAUUCGCUAAGCCAGCCAGUUACCAAU
rnacentral:ncRNA from 1 species